CCGAGUUAUACAACUCAUCAACCCCUGUGAACAUACCUAUAACGUUGCCUCGGCGGGAAUCAGCCGGCUCCCGUAAAACGGGACGGCCCCGCCAGAGGACCCCCUAACUCUGUUUCUAUAAUGUUACUUCUGAGUAAACCAGCAAAUAAAUCA
rnacentral:misc_RNA from 1 species